rnacentral:rRNA from 1 species
GACGAACCGUCCAAACGUUGUUCGGAAUCACUGGGCUUAAAGGGCGCGUAGGCGGGCCAGAGGGUCCGGGGUGAAAUCUUUCGGCUUAACCGGAAAAGUGCCUUGGAUACCGCUGGUCUAGAGGGAGGUAGGGGCAUGUGGAACUUCUGGUGGAGCGGUGAAAUGCGUUGAUAUCAGAAGGAACGCCGGUGGCGAAAGCGACGUGCUGGAUCUCUUCUGACGCUGAGGCGCGAAAGCCAGGGGAGCAAACGGG